rnacentral:tRNA from 1 species
GAUGCGGUGGCCGAGUAGUUAAGGCGACGGGGUUUAUCCCUUCGUGAGUUCGAAUCCCACCCGCGCCG